GUAGGUGAACCUGCGGAAGGAUCAUUAAUGAAACUUCAAAGUCGGCUUUUGUUAUCUGUGCUGGUGGAGACACAUGUGCACGUUGACAAAGGUCGCAAAAUCCACACACCUGUGCAUCUAUGACUCUGAGUACCGCUUUGUGUGGCUCCUCACCGGGUCUGGUACUCGAGUACUUUACACACUCUGAAUGUAAUGGAAUGUCUAUUUGUACAAUGUACAACUAAAAACAACUUUCAACAACGGAUCUCUU
rnacentral:misc_RNA from 1 species